AAAAGGAAUGGUGAAAAUUACAAUAUUUCUUCUUUAGAAUUAGAUCGUGAUACAAGUGACAGGAAAAGUAAUAGUAGCAGAAAUUCUGAAACCAGUAGUAAAGCUGAUAUUGCCAUGGAUGGUCAGGAGGAUUCUGGGCAGGUGCCAAAGCAUAGAGAGAUUAGAGGUGUUGAGGCAAGUCAUGCAUUGAAGUGUGCUAACAAUUUUGGUAAGCGUCCUAAGGUUGACCAGCAGAAGGAAGCGAUGCUGGGAAAGAAGCGCAGUAGGCAGACAAUGUUUCUUGAUUUGGAAGAUGUGAAACAGGCAGGUUCUCAAAAAAGUAUUG
rnacentral:misc_RNA from 1 species